rnacentral:rRNA from 1 species
UACGUAGGUGGCAAGCGUUGUCCGGAUUUACUGGGCGUAAAGCGCGCGCAGGCGGAUUGGUCAGUCCGGGGUGAAAUCUCACGGCUCAACUGUGAGCGGUCCCCGGAUACUGCCAGUCUCGAGGUGUCUAGAGGAGAGCGGAAUUCCCGGUGUAGUGGUGGAAUGCGUAGAUAUCAGGAAGAACACCCGUGGCGAAGGCGGUUCUCUGGGACGGUACUGACGCUGAGACGCGAAAGCGUGGGGAGCGAACAGG